rnacentral:rRNA from 1 species
UACGUAGGGUGCAAGCGUUAAUCGGAAUUACUGGGCGUAAAGCGUGCGCAGGCGGUUGUGCAAGACAGAGGUGAAAUCCCCGGGCUUAACCUGGGAAUGGCCUUUGUGACUGCACGGCUAGAGUGUGUCAGAGGGGGGUAGAAUUCCACGUGUAGCAGUGAAAAUGCGUAGAUAUGUGGAGGAAUACCGAUGGCGAAGGCAGCCCCCUGGGAUAACACUGACGCUCAUGCAACGAAAGCGUGGGGGAGCAAACAGG